CAUAUUAAGCGUAUCUUCUCUCAAGCUUCUGCCGUGACCAACUGCGGGAAUUUUCAGCAGUAGCACACGGCGGACGCUUCAGAUGAGUUACGCUCAAUGC
rnacentral:pre_miRNA from 1 species